CUAAAGCAAAAAAAUGUAUUUUGACAUAGGGUGAGAGAUAGACUAAAGCAAGCAUCCUAAAUUCAGUGUGCACCACAGAAUCAAUAUAUAGACUCUAGAUGCAAGAACAAUCAAAAGCAUCUGCCAUAAUAAUGAACAGAUUAACAGGGGAAUACAAAGAAGGUUAAUGUCAGAGAGCUGUUGAGCACAGGCAUGUGCCAUGGAGUUUGCAGGCCGCCGCCACCAAGCCUGCAUGGUUAAACCAAGUGGUUGACAAAUGGGAGAAAUUUUUACCAGAGUGCUUCUGCUUGGGAGCUGACAGAAGUUCCGGCUGAAGUCAAAAUUCGCCUGGUGAAGUUCUUGCCUUU
rnacentral:lncRNA from 1 species